GAUGAACGCUGGCGGCGUGCCUAAUACAUGCAAGUCGAGCGAACAGACGAGGAGCUUUCUCCUCUGACGUUAGCGGCGGACGGGCGAGUAACACGUGGAUAACCUACCUAUAAGACGGGUAUAACUUCGGAAAACCGGAGCUAAUACCGGAUAAUAUAUUGAACCGCAUGGUUCAUUAGUAAAAGACGGUUGUGCUGGCACGGAUAGAUGUAUCCGCGCUGCAUUCGUUAGUUGGUAAGGUAACGGGUUAACAAGGCAACGAGGCGUAGCGGAGCUGAGAGGGUGAUCGGCCACCCUAGACCUGAACCACGGUCCAGACUCCUACGGGACGCAGCAGUAGGGAAUCUUCCGCAAUGGGCGGAAGCCUGACGGAACCCCGCCACGCGAGUGACAAAGGUCUUCGGUUCGUAAUACUCUGUUAUUUGUGAAGAACAAAUGUGUAAUUAACUAUGCACUUCUUGACGGUACCGAAUCAAAAAGCCACGGCUAACUCCGUG
rnacentral:rRNA from 1 species